CAAUAGCGUAUAUUUAAGUUGUUGCAGUUAAAAAGCUCGUAGUUGGAUUUCGGGUAGGAUUUGCCGGUCCGUCUUUGAGAUGUGUACUGGUAAGUCCUAUCUUCUUGUCGGGGACCAGCUCCUGGGCUUCACUGUCCGGGACUGGGAGCCGACGAAGUUACUUUGAGUAAAUUAGAGUGUUCAAAGCAAGCCUACGCUCUGAAUAUAUUAGCAUGGAAUAACACGAUAGGACUCUGGCUUAUCUUGUUGGUCUGUGAGACCAGAGUAAUGAUUAAGAGGGACAGUCGGGGACAUUCGUAUUUCAUUGUCAGAGGUGAAAUUCUUGGAUUUAUGAAAGUCUAACUACUGCGAAAGCAUUUACCAAGGAUGUUUUCAUUAA
rnacentral:rRNA from 1 species